rnacentral:rRNA from 1 species
GACGAACGCUGGCGGCGUGCUUAACACAUGCAAGUCGAACGAAGUGGCGAACGGGUGAGUAAUACGUGGGUAACCUGCCCUCCUUUUUGGGAUAAGCAUUGGAAACGGGGUCUAAUACCGAAUAAAGGGGGAUGGGCUCGGGGCCUAUCAGCUUGUUGGAGGGGUGAUGGCCUACCAAGGCGGUGACGGGUAGCCGGCCUGAGAGGGUGACCGGUAACAUUGGGACUGAGAUACGGACCAGACUCCGAAGGGAGGAAGCAGUGGGGGAUAUUGCACAAGGGGCGGAAGCCUGAUGCAGCGACGCCGCGUGGGGGAUGACGGCCUUCGGGUUGUAAACUCCUUUCACCAUCGACGCGGUAGAUGGAGAAGAAGCACCGGCUAACUACGUGCCAGCAGCCGCGGUAAUAC